GAAUCAUUCAAGAUUCAAACACUAUUGUGUUGCAACGGUUCUGCUGUCGCGUUGUUUGGCAGUAUUUCCGUCAAGAGGAGGAAAAAGUAAAGGGCAAUAUUGUGUCUAAAAUGCAGGUUUGCAGGAAGUCAUUGCUCCUGGUGUCAUUUCUCUUAUGAGGUAGACUGACGAUGGAUCGUGAAUCGGCAGGGCAAACAGUGGAUUAAUCACAGAGACGGGCCGGGAGAGAGAAUUUAAGGCUGUGUGUGUCUGUGGGAGACGAAAAAACAGACAUUGUUCCCUAAGCUUCACAGGACGUCUGAAAGGUUUUGUUGAGAAGUCGACCCUUGAACUAAUCCAGAUUCACACAGUUAAACAGAGACGGGAAGGAACGCCAAAGCAGGCCUUUUGUCAUUCCUGGCCUUUAGACCUGAAAUUACCUCUCUAACUCCCUUCAGGCUAAAGCCCAUUAACGUUCAAAAGCCAGCUUUAAUUAUUAAAUGCUCUAAAUAAUAA